rnacentral:rRNA from 1 species
CCAAAUGACUCUCGACAACGGAUAUCUUGGCUCUUGCUUCGAUGAAGAACGCAGCGAAAUGCGAUACGUGGUGUGAAUUGCAGAAUCCCGUGAACCAUUGAAUUUUUGAACGCAAGUUGCGCCCGAUGCCAUUUUAUAGGUUGAGGGCAUGCCUGCCUGGGUGU